UUCCUUUGAAACUUGAAUUUGUAUUUAUGAGCCUUUAUUCUUCAAUUGUUUGUUUCUAUUUUAUGCUUAUCUAUUCUUAUCAUUAUAUUCCUUUGAAAUUUGAAUUUCUAUUUGUGAGCCUUCUUAUGUCAUGAGGGUUAAUUGUUACUGAUUAUAAUACUUCUUGAUCAGACUCUUGAAUUGUUAUCAGUAAACUUUGGAGCAAAUGAAUUAGGUAAGGC
rnacentral:lncRNA from 1 species